UGACGAGCGGCGGACGGGUGAGUAAUGUCUGGGAAACUGCCUGAUGGAGGGGGAUAACUACUGGAAACGGUAGCUAAUACCGCAUAACGUCGCAAGACCAAAGAGGGGGACCUUCGGGCCUCUUGCCAUCAGAUGUGCCCAGAUGGGAUUAGCUAGUAGGUGGGGUAACGGCUCACCUAGGCGACGAUCCCUAGCUGGUCUGAGAGGAUGACCAGCCACACUGGGACUGAGACACGGUCCAGACUCCUACGGGAGGCAGCAGUGGGGAAUAUUGCACAAUGGGCGCAAGCCUGAUGCAGCCAUGCCGCGUGUAUGAAGAAGGCCUUCGGGUUGUAAAGUACUUUCAGCGGGGAGGAAGGCGAUAAGGUUAAUAACCUUGUCGAUUGACGUUACCCGCAGAAGAAGCACCGGCUAACUCCGUGCCAGCAGCCGCGGUAAUACGGAGGGUGCAAGCGUUAAUCGGAAUUACUGGGCGUAAAGCGCACGCAGGCGGUCUGUCAAGUCGGAUGUGAAAUCCCCGGGCUCAACCUGGGAACUGCAUUCGAAACUGGCAGGCUAGAGUCUUGUAGAGGGGGGUAGAAUUCCAGGUGUAGCGGUGAA
rnacentral:rRNA from 1 species